UUGCAGGCCUAAAAGGCAGGCGCAAAAGUGCGGUUGAGUUCACACAAAUAUCUGGAUCUGGGGAAAGCUUCUGCUGGGUGAUUGACGACCUGUAAGCCCUGGAAGCUGAGGGGAGGACGAGAGAGCCACCCAGGAAGCCUGACGUCAGGGGCUGCCUCCCGGCCGCCCUCCCGGCUGCGUUCCCGGCCGGAUGCAGAGUUGAGAGAAGACGCUGGCUCGUCAAGGUGAGUCAGAACAAAGGCGGAGAUGAGCUCGAUCGGACAAGCCUGAGAAGCAGGACCUUGUGUUUGCAUCCCCUGAACCUGGCUCUGCACGGUGUUCAGUUCCUCCAGGACGUUUUUAUUUCCUCCCACCUUGAUAAGACCCCUCCUCCCAGGGCGGCCCGGGCUCCUUCCCAAAAUGCACAUUGAGAGAAGCCCUCUGGCCUCUCAAGCAAUCCUCUUGGCAGCCUGGCCCUGACCUUCCGCCUGACCGUUCCUCCAUUCCUAAGGAAGGUUGCACCUCAGGGGAAAUCACAGCCCCCACCCCGCAUGCCCCGUGUCCCCUGGGGGCCCUCGCCUGCGCCACAUUUUCAUAAAGGAAAAAAAGAAAAGCCUUCAGGUAAUUUAUCCACUAUUUUUGCAUGAAUUGUUUGGCUGUCUAGAUCCUUCAUUUCCUGUUUCAGUCUUGAUCUUUAGUUGAAAGGGAAAAAAAAAAACCCACAUAUAUAUGCAGUUUUUUGAAAGAGAGAAAAUUGCUUGAGUGAAAAGUCUUUCGUCUUCAGGGAGAACCUCAUCUCUACCACUCAAGACAGGGAAGAUAAUCUACAAAACCCAGAAGUGCAGAUGCAGACAUGGCAUUUUUUCCUUUCCCCCAGACAACCUGCAAAGUUCAUUUCAGGAUCUCCCCCCACCAGAAGCCACAGAGGGGGACACUUGGUUUUCACCACAUUGCUCAGCGUCCUAAGGGUCAGAAAAGGCUGAGGUUCUGAUAACAGACACAGAUUUGACCGAGGUAACAAUUUAUCUACGCAUCUCUGCAAGUUCCACCAAGCUUGAAUUUCUUUAGCUGCAUGGAUCCAUUUUAAUAAGAGCUGACAGUUUAAUCAGAUGCCGUGACAACACCUGCUCUUAGACAUGAAGCCUGCUGAGCAUCCUGCCAGGGGUGACAUCGCGGCCUCUGGAACUGGACCCAGAGCCUAAGAAGGACAAGGCCUGGGAUCAGGGGCCCUGACAGCCCGAGAGUGGAGGAAUCACCAGAAACCCAGAAGAGGUGGCUCCUCAUGAAACAGAAUCACUAGAGGAAGCAAGGAAAAACUAAACAAAAUUCCUGCUACUAAUAAAGAAAAUCAAUUCUA